UACAGAGGUCUCAAGCGUUGUUCGGAUUCAUUGGGCGUAAAGGGCGCGUAGGCGGCGGGGUAAGUCGGGUGUGAAAUCUCAGAGCUCAACUCUGAAACUGCACUCGAUACUGCUCUGCUUGAGGACUGGAGAGGAGACUGGAAUUCACGGUGUAGCAGUGAAAUGCGUAGAUAUCAGGAGGAAUACCGAUGGCGAAGGCGGGUCUCUGGGCCGAUACUGACGCUGAGGAGCGAAAGCGUGGGGAGCGAACAGG
rnacentral:rRNA from 1 species